CAGCCGCCGCGGUAAAACGGAGGGCGCGAGCGUUACCCGGAUUUACUGGGCGUAAAGCGUGCGCAGGCGGUUAUAUAAGACAGUUGUGAAAUCCCCGGGCUCAACCUGGGAACUGCAUCUGUGACUGUAUAGCUAGAGUACGGUAGAGGGGGAUGGAAUUCAGCGUGUAGCAGUGAAAUGCGUAGAUAUGCGGAGGAACACCGAUGGCGAAGGCAAUCCCCUGGACCUGUACUGACGCUCAUGCACGAAAGCGUGGGGAGCAAACAGGAUUAGAUACCCCCGUAGUCCCUGUCUCUUAUAC
rnacentral:rRNA from 1 species